GCAAAGCAUCCUUCAGCGCUAUUAAGAUCACUCUUCUUUUCCCUUUGAAUGAUUUCAAGAGUGCUUCUGAUUGGGAGCUCAUGGAACGUAGCAGCUUCCAAGGUAUCUGGAUCUUUGAAAAGAAAAGAAAGAGGUGGAAAGGAGGUAGGAUUGUAGAUGGUGGUGAUUCACUCACCAGGGUGUAACACAGAUGCUUCCUACAUACCUGCUUGCAAAAUUCUGCAGUGUUCCAAGUACAGCCGUCGAGUUAGAUGCAGACCUCUGGCUGUUGUCCAGAGGACUUAGGAAGAUGGGAAGUAUGGAUAGUCCUGUCCUAUACCCAGUGCUGAGCCUUUCUCCAAGGGACCUGUUUCUUUUCCUGGCAC
ensembl:lncRNA